rnacentral:misc_RNA from 1 species
AAUAUACCUUGAUUGAGAUACAAGAUGUCAUGCGUAUGUCGAGUUAUCCCUUCAUUCAGAAACUUAUGAGCUAGAAGUAUUAGCCCCCAGCUCAUGCCUUGUUUUAAUAUCACUGAUGCUGACUUAGUUA